UACGUAGGCAGCAAGCGUUGUUCGGAGUUACUGGGCGUAAAGGGUGCGUAGGCGGCCCUGUAAGUAUGGUGUGAAAUCUCCCGGCUUAACUGGGAGGGUGCGCUAUAGACUGCGGGGCUCGAGUGUGGGAGAGGAAAGUGGAAUGCCUGGUGUAGCGGUGAAAUGCGUAGAUAUCAGGAGGAACACCGGUGGUGUAAACGGCUUUCUGGACCAUAACUGACGCUGAGGCACGAAAGCGUGGGUAGCAAACAGG
rnacentral:rRNA from 1 species